GUAAGAAUCAAAAGUGGAUGUCAGCUUUAUUUUCCUCUGGAACAACGUCUUUUUGCUAUUUGAUCUCAUUUUGUCAAUCUUUUUAAAAAAUGGGAAUGGGAGGAGGGAGGGGAGCUGAGGGAAUCAUGCAAACAAGAUUGAGCUGAAAUUGGAGACUUUCUGUUUGACAUUACAGAGCAAAUGAUUAUCAUCAUCAUCAUCAUCAGAGGCCCCAAGUAAGUUUCACUUUCUGUUCAGGUCAUCAUCAGAGUUUAACACUGAAAAUGUCAGAAGUAGGACUUAGAACACAGAAGGUAAAUCUUUAUAUUGCCUAAAUUAUUAUUAGAAUACUUACCUAUUUAAUUAGAAACAUCUGUUGGAGCUACAUUUUUCUCAGGUUAUAGUGUUAAAGUCCGGCUUCUGGAUUCUGAACAAGAAGUGAGUUUGGUCAAAGUUUCACUUUAGUCCCAACUGAUCCACAGUUUGCAUCUUUCUAUAUACAUCGUUGGAUCAAGCUGCGUUCUGAGUAAAGAGAUAUUUCUCUCAGGUGCAAAACUGUUUUACUUUUAAGAACACAAACGAGUCUGUAAGAGUUUGAGGGGCACCUCUGUCCAGAUGCUCGACUGCCCAAACAUCUGGAUUUAUUAUCUUUAUUGCAGAGGCUGGAGGCUGCCAGUUGCUAGGUGAAGUUGGAUGCUAACAGGGUGCUGCACCAAAUCCUCCUCAUUGCUUUGGUCACUAGCAGGUUGCUUCUGUUGCCUGCAGUUUGCACAGAAGAUGUGUCUGUAAAAACAGUUGCCAAUCAAUAGUGAAAGAAAUAGAACCAUUCACCUGCAAAAAUAACAGUUUUCACCUUUGGAAAUAUGCCGUGUCAGCACUAAUUUCAUGGUUUUUUUACUAGUUUCUGGUUUGCAUCACACCUUUUGGUUUUCUGCACAAUUUACAGCUGAGAGCAGUAACCUGAUAGAGGUCAGAGGAAUCCCAAGGACGUGUUUGGUGUAGCAAUGUCCACCAACCAGUGUGGGGUUUUUCUCUGGUAACCUGUGGUUUCCAGGUGGAUUCUCACUGGUUUGUAGGCCUGUGUGACUUUAGCGAUGAUUCUGUCGUCAGCCUUCACCAACUGGUUGGGGAAUAAACAUUUUUCCAAUUUCUCCAGGCCUGUGUGAGGUCUAAAGGUGCUCCUGACCUCUCUGAGACACGCAUGUGAUAAAAAAUAAAAUAGUUUCCCUGCAGUGAAACAUCUGUUUGAGUUUUGGUUUGGACAGCAGAGUUACAUCCACUCGGCCGGUCUUUGGAAAGAGAAGCUACAGUUUUCAGAUUAUUAACAUUAUUAAAGCUUUUUUAACGCUCAGGCACAAAAACCUAUUUGGUGUUCAUCUGGUAUUAAAUGUGCUUUUUACCCUCAGUCGUUUUAAUAGAAAGUGAAUCGUUAUGACACAGGACUAUUUACACAGCUGAGAUCUGAGUGGAUUCAAACUUGCAUUGCGUAGCAAAUAUACUCUACCAGACAACAUGAUAAACUAUUCUUCAAAACCCAAAAUUUGUUAACAUGUUUGUGCCUCAUCUGAGAUAAAAAAACCAAAAAAAAAAAAAACCCAUGAACUUAAGAAAUGUUUAGCAUACGAAAAAGAAAUUAAACACAUGCUGUCAACUUCAUAUUGAAACUUUUUAAAAAAUGAUUAUUUCAUCAAGAAAAAAGAAAUUUCAAUCAUCGCAUCCAUCAUCUCUGCACUAUUUCCCUCUUUUCUUCAUCAUCUCUAAUAUUAAAUUAUAAACAUUUUAAAACAAAAGUGCCUGAAGCAUGAUAUGAGGAAAAAGAUAAAUAUAAUUUGUUUCCUUUGUCCUUUCUUUUUUUUGUCUGUUUUUUGUUUUGUUUUUGUUUUUUUUACAGUACAUACUCUUUGUAUGGUGUUCAUUUUGUGAUGUAAAACUCGAGCGUCAUCCUCAGACGUUCGAGUCGUUGCUCACUGUUUGCUUUGGUCGCGCCCUCCUUUGGCAUCACUGUUGCAAAAAGAAAAAAAGAAGUAAAGCUACAGACAGACCAUUAGUCUUAAUAUUUUUGGUAUUUCAUUGUUAUUGUCCCGGUUUCAGGAAAGAGUUUUCUUUGGAGGGAACCCUGUUGUGGAUUCCAAAACGUCCCCAAUAAAUAUUCAAAAGUUUGUUAGUCCGACUCCUCCGUCUGAAUCUCUGCUGAGAAAAAAAAGAAGGAAAGAAAAGAGAUCUUUGGUUUGGUUGAAUCAGGAGUUUCUCCAGCAGGAUGAAUGUGGCUUGAAUGCUGCUCCUCUCCAGAAUUCUCAGUCAGUCAAGUCAAAAGUGUAAACAGUCAGACAAACGUUCCCACCAAGACAGAUAAAUCUGAAAAAAGUCUUAAGUAAAGACCCCCA
ensembl:lncRNA